rnacentral:rRNA from 1 species
UACGUAGGGUGCAGGCGUUAAUCGGAAUUACUGGGCGUAAAGCGUGCGCAGGCGGUUUGCUAAGACAGGUGUGAAAUCCCCGGGCUUAACCUGGGAACUGCGCUUGUAACUGGCAAGCUAGAGUGUGGCAGAGGGGGGUAGAAUUCCACGUGUAGCAGUGAAAUGCGUAGAGAUGUGGAGGAACACCGAUGGCGAAGGCAGCCCCCUGGGUCAAAACUGACGCUCAUGCACGAAAGCGUGGGGAGCAAACAGG